rnacentral:rRNA from 1 species
GAUGAACGCUGGCGGCGUGCUUAACACAUGCAAGUCGAACGGAAGGGCCCGGCGUUUGUGUGGUUGUCGUUUGGCGAACGGGGGAGUAACACGUGAGUAUCCUGCCCUUGACUUUGGGAUAACUUCAGGAAACUGGGGCUAAUACCGGAUAUGAUCUUCUGCUGCAUAGUGGUGGUUGGAAAGUUUCGGCGGUUGUGGAUGGACUCGCGGCUUAUCAGCUUGUUGGUGUGGUAGUUGCUUACCAAGGCUUUGAAGGGUAGCCGGCCUGAGAGGGUGACCGGGCACAAGGGGCCUGAGGGACGGAGCAGACUCGAACGGGCCGCAGUAGGGGGGAGCAUUGCACAAUGGGGGGGAGCCAGAUGUAGAGACGUCGCGUGCGGGAUGCCGUGUUAUGGGUUAAAAACAGAUGUCGAAGGAGACGAAGAGAGCGUGACGGUAACGGGUAAGAAAGCCACGGCUAACUACGUG